AGCUCUGUGGUGGCAGUAUUGUAGCCAGUGAGGUUUAUCCAAGGUGCAAUUAAUGCUAAUUGAAAACUUUUCCCAAUACCCUGCAGUGACGACUUGCAAUAUAGUUGGCACUGGCAAUUUUUGGCGGUCUCUACAGAGA
ensembl:snRNA U4 U4 spliceosomal RNA